rnacentral:rRNA from 1 species
AAUAGAUACCCCGGUAGUCCACGCCCUAAACGAUGUCAACUGGUUGUUGGGGAUUUACUUCCUCAGUAACGAAGCUAACGCGUGAAGUUGACCGCCUGGGGAGUACGGCCGCAAGGUUAAAACUCAAAGGAAUUGACGGGGACCCGCACAAGCGGUGGAUGAUGUGGUUUAAUUCGAUGCAACGCGAAAAACCUUACCACCUUUGACAUGUACGGAAGAUCGCAGAGACGCGAUUGUGCUCGAAAGAGAGCCGUAACACAGGUGCUGCAUGGCUGUCGUCAGCUCGUGUCGUGAGAUGUUGGGUUAAGUCCCGCAACGAGCGCAACCCUUGCCAUUAGUUGCUACGAAAAGGCACUCUAAUGGGACUGCCGGUGACAAACCGGAGGAAGGUGGGGAUGACGUCAAGUCCUCAUGGCCCUUAUAGGUGGGGCUACACACGUCAUACAAUGGCUGGUACAAAGGGUAGCCAACCCGGCGAGGGGGGAGCCAAUCCCAUAAAGCCAGUCGUAGUCCGGAUCGCAGUCUGCAACUCGACUGCGUGAAGUCGG